UACGUAGGGGGCGAGCGUUGUCCGGAGUUACUGGGCGUAAAGGGCUCGUAGGCGGCCAACUAAGUCAGACGUGAAAUCCCUCGGCUUAACCGGGGAACUGCGUCUGAUACUGGAUGGCUUGAGUUUGGGAGAGGGAUGCGGAAUUCCAGGUGUAGCGGUGAAAUGCGUAGAUAUCUGGAGGAACACCGGUGGCGAAGGCGGCAUCCUGGACCAACACUGACGCUGAGGAGCGAAAGCCAGGGGAGCAAACGGG
rnacentral:rRNA from 1 species